rnacentral:rRNA from 1 species
CCUACGGGUGGCAGCAGUGAGGAAUAUUGGUCAAUGGACGAGAGUCUGAACCAGCUAAGUAGCGUGAAGGAUGACUGCCCUAUGGGUUGUAAGCUUUUUUUAUAUGGGAAUAAAACAGGGUAUGUAUACCAGCCUGUACGUACAAUAUGAGUAAGGAACGGCUAAUGCCGUGCCAGCAGCCGCGGUAAUACGGAGGUUCCGAGCGUUAGCCGGAUUUAUUGGGUUUAAAGGGAGCGUAGGUGGAUGGUUAAGUCAGAUGUGAAAGUUUGGGGCUCAACCGUGAAAGUGCAUUUGAAACUGGCAGUCUUGAGUGCAGUAGAGGUGAGCGGAAUUCGUGGUGUAGCGGUGAAAUGCGUAGAUAUCACGAGGAACUCCGAUGGCGAAGGCAGCUCACUGGACUGCAACUGACGCUGAUGCUCGAAAGUGUGGGUAUCAAACAGGAUUAGAUACCCCGGUAGUC